rnacentral:tRNA from 1 species
GAUUCCGAAGUGUAGCGGUUAUCACGUUCGCUUUACACGCGAAAGGUCCCCGGUUCGAACCCGGGCGGAAUCA